AUUGAACGCUAGCGGGAUGCCUUACACAUGCAAGUCGAACGGCAGCACGGACUUCGGUCUGGUGGCGAGUGGCGAACGGGUGAGUAAUGUAUCGGAACGUGCCCAGUAGCGGGGGAUAACUACUCGAAAGAGUAGCUAAUACCGCAUACGCCCUACGAGGGAAAGGGGGGGAUCGCAAGACCUCUCACUAUUGGAGCGGCCGAUAUCGGAUUAGCUAGUUGGUGGGGUAAAGGCCCACCAAGGCGACGAUCCGUAGCUGGUUUGAGAGGACGACCAGCCACACUGGGACUGAGACACGGCCCAGACUCCUACGGGAGGCAGCAGUGGGGAAUUUUGGACAAUGGGGGCAACCCUGAUCCAGCCAUCCCGCGUGUGCGAUGAAGGCCUUCGGGUUGUAAAGCACUUUUGGCAGGAAAGAAAUCGCAUGGGUUAAUACCCUGUGUGGAUGACGGUACCUGCAGAAUAAGCACCGGCUAACUACGUGCCAGCAGCCGCCGUAA
rnacentral:rRNA from 1 species